GUGCCAGCCGCCGCGGUAAUACGGAGGGUGCAAGCGUUAAUCGGAAUUACUGGGCGUAAAGCGCACGCAGGCGGUCUGUCAAGUCGGAUGUGAAAUCCCCGGGCUCAACCUGGGAACUGCAUUCGAAACUGGCAGGCUAGAGUCUUGUAGAGGGGGGUAGAAUUCCAGGUGUAGCGGUGAAAUGCGUAGAGAUCUGGAGGAAUACCGGUGGCGAAGGCGGCCCCCUGGACAAAGACUGACGCUCAGGUGCGAAAGCGUGGGGAGCAAACAGGAUUAGAUACCCUGGUAGUCCACGCCGUAAACGAUGUCGACUUGGAGGUUGUGCCCUUGAGGCGUGGCUUCCGGAGCUAACGCGUUAAGUCGACCGCCUGGGGAGUACGGCCGCAAGGUUAAAACUCAAAUGAAUUGGCGG
rnacentral:rRNA from 1 species